GUUGUGAUUUGCUCUCAUUUUAGUAUCUUUGAAACAUUGGAAACAAC
rfam:Bacteroides eggerthii 1_2_48FAA genomic scaffold supercont1.1, whole genome shotgun sequence.